UCCAGGUAAAGAGUACCCACACAAUCCAUUCUAAUCUCUCAGCUGUACUGAGGUGGAAAAAUAAUAUUUGGGGUAACUUUCACCUGAAUCUCUCCUGCAAGAUGCCUGAGAACAUUUUUGGCUUGAAGCUUCUAUCUCAGUAUAUUGCUCCUGCAACAAUGAUUGAGAGCUUCUCCAUUUGAUGAAGCUUUGAAUGAUCCUAGAUCCAAUUUCCUCUUUGAAACUGGGCAAAUGAAUUCCAAGAAAUAUACCAUCAUCAACAUUACCACCAUCAUCACCAUCAAAAUAACGAAGAACCAUGUUUAAGCCACCUUUACACAGAAAGAUUUUAAUGGCUGCUAUCGAGGGUGCUGACCCAAAGACAACACAGAUCUCAGUGGAAUUGAUGGAUUUGCCAUGCACAUCUUUCAGACUCAAGCAAUUAAACUCUUUCCUAAAGUGAAAUAGGCAGACAAGAAUCUGCUCCCCGACACAGUUGACUGCAGGCAGAGCCUGAGGAGACCUGACCACAGCAACUUCCCUGUCUGCAAGCGCAUGGGUAAGGAUACUGAUUUGCAGGGUGUGUGCACCAGAGAAGGAGAGUUACAGUACCAUAAGUUGAAUGAGAAACAGGAGAGAGUUUCUUAAGCCAAGAACUCCCUGGAAAGACAGGCCUGAGGGUGUGAGCAAGGAAAGUUCAUCCUGUUGUUUAUUUCUACAAAGGUUUCUUUCAAACGAGGUCAUGCCAAGAAUUUACAUUAUUUCCCAAGUCAAUUCAUCUUCCUCGUUAAAACAAACCUGCAAAAUGUGCAUGUUGACUAGUGAUUCAGGCUACGUUUUGCUCAGGUACAGCAAUUUCCAUCUUCUGCUUUAUGAGAAAAUAGGACUUCCAGUAUUCCACUCCUAUGUGUCUUAGACCAUCUGCAAAUUUAAAUAGCUGUAUGUUUCUGUAUAAGGAAAUCCAUGGCCAGCGAAAGAUUUGUGAUUCAAUAAAGAGUAGAAAAUCAUAAGUUGGAGACACACUGCUGGUGUUUGAAGAGAUGAUCAGAUAAAAUGAAUGAAAAAGUCUAAAUAUUUCAAGUGCAUUUAAAGCUCAGGCAGAGUUACAGCAAUAGCAGACUGCUGCUGGCUGUUCACUGCACUGCUACUACCAUGACUGCUGCUACUCAAGUCUUAUUCCUACAUAAACAGAAAUUUGACCCGAGGAAAAAAGGCUACAAAUGUACAGCGAAUAUUUUGAAAGUUGUUUCCUUUGGAAUUCAGCUAAUUCUGGACAGACAAGUUCCUACAAAUACACCUGAAAACAUCCCUCAGUUUUCUUGUUGGGUGACCCUGCGCAAGUUAUUCAAGGACGACUCACAGGUG